rnacentral:lncRNA from 1 species
GCCUUUUAUGACCUUCUUUUUUCCUUUCUUUCUUUCUUUUUUCUGUUCUUUUCUUCAAGGUCUGGCGCACCUGACGUUAAACAACCAAGACCAGCCUUUGGCCGCAGCUCUCCCGACUGAAGGUUCCAGGUUCCAUCCCUCUCUCUUCUGAGUGUGUGUCAUACUCUGACCUUUAUCUCUGAUGUUGAUCCACAAGCUGGCUUGUAUGCCAGCCCCUCGCUGGGCGUCUCCUGUAGCGACAAGGUCACACAGGGUCAUGUGUAAGGGAGAAGAAUUGGCUGGGGAAAGGAUGACCUUUCACUAAACUCUCUUUCUCUAUUUCUCUUUCUACCAAUUGAGGGCUCUGCCAUCUACUGCUCCUUUAUAACAUUUAAACCCCUCCCCUCAUCAUAAUUUCUCAAGACAAUAACAUACAAGCAUGAAAAUUACAAUAGCGCAAUAGCAUUCAUGCUGUCCAGCAGAACACCCCCGCCCCUACAUAAAUUGCUCAUUCUGACUUCAAUUUGCAUAGUAACCUUAAUUAGCAAUGUUUAAGUGUGGGCAACUUAGAUUACCAAAGUUAGUAUAGCCAAAAUAUAUACUUAUAUAACUGUUAUUGUAUUUGGAUAAUAAAUAUGUUCCCUCCUCCCA